AGCGAACGCUGGCGGCGUGCUUAACACAUGCAAGUCGCGCGGGAAAGGGACUUUCGGGUCCUGAGUAGAGCGGCGAACGGGUGCGUAAGACGCGGGUGACCUAUCCUUGAGGCGGGGAUAACCCUUCGAAAGAGGGGCUAAUACCGGAUGAGCCCACAGACGGAAACGUGAGGGGGCAAAGGAUGCACUGUACUCAGUGCAUGUCUUCAGGGAGGGGCCCGUGGCCUAUCAGCUAGNGGUGUGGUAACGGCGCACCAAGGCGAAGACGGGUAGCUGGUCUGAGAGGAUGGCCAGCCACACGGGGACUGAGACACGGCCCCGACUCCUACGGGAGGCAGCAGUGGGGAAUAUUGGGCAAUGGGCGCAAGCCUGACCCAGCGACGCCGCGUGGGUGAUGAAGG
rnacentral:rRNA from 1 species